rnacentral:rRNA from 1 species
GAUGAACGCUGGCGGCGUGCCUAAUACAUGCAAGUCGAGCGAACAGACGAGGAGCUUGCUCCUCUGACGUUAGCGGCGGACGGGUGAGUAACACGUGGAUAACCUACCUAUAAGACUGGGAUAACUUCGGGAAACCGGAGCUAAUACCGGAUAAUAUAUUGAACCGCAUGGUUCAAUAGUGAAAGACGGUUUUGCUGUCACUUAUAGAUGGAUCCGCGCCGCAUUAGCUAGUUGGUAAGGUAACGGCUUACCAAGGCAACGAUGCGUAGCCGACCUGAGAGGGUGAUCGGCCUCACUGGAACUGAGACACGGUCCAGACUCCUACGGGAGGCAGCAGUAGGGAAUCUUCCGCAAUGGGCGAAAGCCUGACGGUGCAACGCCGCGUGAGUGAUGAAGGUCUUCGGAUCGUAAAACUCUGUUAUUAGGGAAGAACAAAUGUGUAAGUAACUAUGCACGUCUUGACGGUACCUAAUCAGAAAGCCACGGCUAACUACGUG